rnacentral:rRNA from 1 species
GACGAACGCUGGCGGCGUGCCUAAUACAUGCAAGUCGAACGCAGAGGGGACGGGUGAGUAGCACGUGGGUAACCUCCCAUCAGAGGGGGUAACACUUGGCAACAGGUGCUAAACCGAUACUGAUUGAUGGACCCGCGGUGCAUUCGCUAGUUGGUGGGGUAACGGCUCACCAAGGCCACGCUGCAUAGCCGACCUGAGAGGGUGAUCGGCCACAAGGGAACUGAGACCCGGCCCAGAUUCCUACGUGAGGCAGAAGUAGGGAAUAUUCGUCAAGGGACGAAAGUCUGACCCAGCAACGCCGCGUGAGUGAAGAAGGUUUUCGGAUCGUAAAGUUCUGUCGUUGGGGAAGCGUUAUCUAACCAGAAAGCCACGGCUAACUACGUGCCAGCCGCCGCGGUAAUUC